AGAUUAAGAUUAGAAUCCUUACAAUAAAAACAAGUACUGUAUAUGCCAUUUGAAUUGAAUGCAUGUCUGUAUUGUAUUUGCUGUUUUUUGAAAUAUUUUAUUACUAAUAUUUUUGCUUUACUGUACUGUAGAAUGAUCAUGAUCUGCUUUCAAGUUGCUCAUUAUUGCUUAAUAGAAUCGGGUGAAAACAAUGGCUUACAUGAAUGUGAUUGGCUCUCCCACAAAAAGCAACACAAAGAGAAAUAAGACACCCACCGCACUGGCACUUUCUAACGACAAUGUUCAAAAGAAAAACAAACAAAAUUGUCAGCAAUUGCUCAAACAAAGUAAAUGCAGUCGUUUUUUUCUUUUUUUCCUAGAGGCCAAAGGACCUUAUAUCCCUGUGUCUAUUUUUUAUAGUAAAUAAACUGAAGCAUUGUGACCCUUUACGUGUUUUACAAAUGAAACAAGUGUAUUAAAUGUUACCUUGUGAUGGUCUUUUAAGUAUUUUAAUAAUACUUCUUUGCAUUCAUAUAGCGCUUUUCUCACUACAAAAAGCGCUCACCAAUUGCAGGUUAAGGGCCUCGCUCAAGGGCCCAACAGAGCAGAGUCCCUAUUGGCAUUUACAGGAUUCGAACCGGCAACCUUCUGAUAUAAUUUUUUCGUCUUCAUUAGGAGAAUACAACAAUGAUACUCUCGUGUCAAUUAAACCAAUUUAACGUGUAUAUGUCAAACAACAUAUUUCCACAUCCGCCACAGUAAGAACAGGAGUAGUAGUCAAUAUUUUAACAACUUUCUCUCAGUAAAAACACCAGGGGUUCGGGUCGUUGAUCCUCCACUUGUGAAAGGGUUUUUUUUGAAUUCCUCUAUUUAACAAUAUUUUCAGCUUGGACGGAUGGCGAGCAAAUCGAGCUGUCGAGGGAAGGUUGGGCCGUCGUAAUCGGGCAGGGGGCACACGUCCCUAAUUAUAUUGUGUAUGUAAAGAGUUUCACUGUAAAACGUAAUAAGCAUCAUAUUUGUGUGUUUGGAGACACUGGUGCCGUACUGAAUUUGUAUUGUACAAAAACAAACUACUGUGCAGCAUGCCUAAAUGUGUCUUUCCGUUUCUGAUCGCUAUACGGCACUACCAAUUUGAGACAAUUCGCUAUAAACAGUUUCAGCCAAUCAGCGCCUUCUAAACAUGCAGAAUGACAGUGUGAACCUUUAUUGUAGCGGCGCAGCAUCUUCGUUUCAGUCAGUCAUUGUCCAGUUAGACUAUUAGAUUAUUUACUGUUAAGUGCUGCUUGAGGUACUGUUUAAAGUACAACAGGUAGCCUACGUAGUUCUUAAAUUGGUACUGAAAUGCACACACAAGUCUCCUAAAUUAUUUAUUGAAAUGCCUACAUUUACAGUGUCCGUUUUAGGAAGUCGUAGUUUUUACUUUUUCCCGUUAUUAGGAAUUAUAAUUUCUCAGUGUCACAUAUUAUUUGUUACUACUCGCGAGUCCCGUAUCAUUGAGUUUCUGUUCAAAUAUUCUGUAUAAGAAAACCUUUUAAAAGGAGCGUUAAUUGAACUGACUAUAGCAGACUUGUCAUCUUCUUAAAAUGACUUUAUUGAUUUGAUAUUGACAAUUAAUCAUAAGGUCAAAAACUAAGGAGGAUAUGAGUUUGCAUGGACUGUGCUGUUUCUUUUUUUUCGUGACGUCGCGAGAGAGGAGAAGGGUCCGGCUGCAGGUCGCAGACUUGGCCUUCCAAGCCCCCGGCCUUCCACGCCUCCUGCCUUCCACAGUCCGCCCCACAACUGCCUAUAGUCUGUAGAAAGAGAAGAAGAGCUGCUGUACAGUUUUUCCAAUUCGAAAAAGAAAAGGAGCUGAAAACGUUUUCCCACACGGAACAAUGGCACAACAGAACCAGUCACAUUUCACCAUAAAGGCAGAGAAUAUAAAAACAACUUUGAUAACAUUGAUUAAAUAUCCAAAUGAAUCCAAGUGCCCUCUUUGUAAAAAGCACAGAGACUACAGUAUCCUGCUACGUCACCUUCAGAGUCAUGAAGGCCACAUUGUCAAGUAUGCAGGUUUCCAAAGGACCAUUUUGUGGUGUCUCUGUAUUUCAUCCUCGAGGCCCCCUUCAAUUUUAAUGAGUUGUGUCUCAACUUUAGUCCUCUCUUCUUUCAUUGUAGUAUUUGUAGAGGGAGGAUUAUAUCUGGUUGCUGGUUCCCAUUUUUGUCACCUUCUACAAUUUGUGUUAGAUAUUUGUGUUAUGUUUAACUUAUUUUAUUAUAUUUGUUUUUUUUUUAAUUUCAACAUACUGUCCAUAGUGGUUUUGAAGUUCCAGAAA